rnacentral:lncRNA from 1 species
CCGAUAAAGAAGAAAAGUUUUGUUUUACUAGCCAAUCUUCAUGAACCUCAUGAAUAGUUCUGAGUAACUCUAAAGAAAUACUCGAUUCUUCCUCACGAGAACGGGAACUAACUCGAGCAAAAGAAGUUUCUGGGGAAACUCGCAAAUAAACAAUCAAAUCUACUUUGAGCUCAGACGAGC